rnacentral:lncRNA from 1 species
CCUGGACAGCCAGGGCUUGUCCUCUGGCCCAUGCUGCUCCUGCUGCGGCAGGGCUCAGGGCUGCCCACCAAAGCGUGUCCUCAAAGCAUGAAAGCAACUCAUUUCAGGAUGGAACAGUGCUGGUGCCAGUCCUGGUGCCACAGACUGCCUCCU